CAGAAUUAACUGUGGGGAUGAAGUUAUAAGUAAGUCACAAGGGCUAAAUGCUAGGCUUAGAUUAGUAUGUAAGAAUGAGCAGAUUGGCUGUUUGGACAUGUGGGAUCAGUUCAGUUAAUAGUGUAAUGG